CCAAAAACGGUUUAUCCUUUAAAGACCAUAUGUUAAUGUGUUACCUUUAUCCAUUGCCCGGCAUCAUGGACUUUGCUGAAUUUUUCCAGCUGCGAAACUUUAUAAUCUAAGUAAUUAGGAAUAUGCUACCAAUUAAUAUUAAUGACUAUUAAAGUGCCAGCAGUCGCGGUCAUACUUUAAUUAAAAAUAAAAUUUAUCAGGACUUACGUAAAUAAUUUAACUUCCCAUAGUGAAAUAUGGAUAACCUUCUACUACAUUUAAAACCAACUAAACACUGAUUGCAAACAGGGAUUAGAUACCCCUUUAUGCAGUACUUAAUUCUUCGUCCUGGGUACUACAAUCACCAGAUUGAAACCCAACUAACAUGGCGGUAGUUUAAAUUUUUAGGGGAACUUACUAAGUAAAUGAUAACCACCAAGAAAAUUUACGUAAAGUAAUAUUUUAUAUACCGUCGUCGGCAGAUAUCUUAAUAUAAGAUAUCAUAUUACCUUAAAGUAAAAAGACAGAUCAAGGUGUAGACAACCUUUACGUUUCAGCGAGUUACAAUAUUGUUUUUUUUCGUUGUUUAAUUAUAUUAUUAAUUAUACGCCGGACUUAAUAGUAAUAGUUAUUAAGGAUAUAGUAUGAAUAAUUUUAAACUGUGC
rnacentral:rRNA from 1 species